UCCCGGCAAACAAUGCGAGGGUUGGUGAGGUACCUCUCGCUCUAAUUUCUCUAGUCUAGUCUAGUUGCCUCGCUUCCUCCUAUAGCGAUUCUGUCGAGCUGAGCUUUCACGUCCCUCACCACCGAUCUCCUUCCUACCCCUCGCCUAAGAUCGUCUGACGUCUUGCCUGACACCUUUCGUUGUGUUGGUGCUCUGCGGCUGCUGUCACUGUAGAAGUCAGGUUGUGUGUGUAAAAAAAAACGUAAACAGUGUUGUUGGCUGAUCAAUUUUGGUAAGUUUUUUAAUAAUUAUGUUCUUAAUUUUACGUAAGUAAGUUCCAUUUUAGCUAAAGUAAGUGGUAGAAGUCCUGCCCAAUGCGUGCUGGCUCCGUGGGAAGCGUUACGUGUAUGUACCGGCGUAGAAAAGUGGCGUGAUGAACAACACAGCACAAGACAGCAGGUAAGUAUUAUCCAGCGAUUAUCAUGAUGAAGAAACAUUAUUUUAAUAGACUAUGACCUCUUUUAACUUGCAGAUAUAAUGCAGAAAUGGUAUGGGCCUGCGGCAGGUGUUUGCGACUGUACGUUGCGUUGUAUAUGAUUCGCCAAUUUUCCUCUAUCCUGGAACGUGGGCUUACGAUGAACCAUUAAAGAACAUCCUCCGGGAGCUGUACGGCGACGAAUCGGGCUCUACCAGCACAACACGCUAGAGACCCAGCCGGCACCGGGUGCCCCGAUUGCGCCGUCAGACGGUGUCGAGCGCGCUCGUUCACAACGUUCGGGGCAGGAAUUCAACCCUUCGGAUCUGCAUUAUCCGCUGCCCCACAAUAGCUGCAGCAGCAACAGGACCGAACCGACCGCACUACUGAUUGCGGUCAAAUUUCCUGGCAGGAGAAAAACCCCACGAGUGUAUCGAUUUCAUCGACGGCCGCUCGCUGACGGCACCAACAUGCCACUGAAUAACCCCGGAAAGACGACAAGCACUCAUCCAGCGGCAAAUUGUUAACGUGAACCCACUUCCGCCCAUCUACACGACAUCGCGUUAAUAGUGUUAUUGUGUUAAUUGUAAAAAAAAAUUACGUUAAUGAGUUAAGAUUAAUCUUAAGUGCGCUUUAAGGCAUACAUUGAUAUGCUUAAUUUUAGGUUAAGUGUUUUGAAAUGCGCGUGUGUGCGAAGGGUCGAAAUGAGCGCUAAGCAAACUAAGCGGCCGCGUAGGGCCCCGUGGUCUUGAGGGGCCCCAAAAAUGGAACCCACCCCUCGCUCGCUAGUAAAAUUUACAUUUGUGCUUGUAAACCUACAUUUAUGAGACUGCCUCCACUCGUAUGUGCGGGUUUUAUACAACAUUUAAGAUAAAUAAAUCUAGUUUAUAUUCUCAUAAAA